UUAUAAAUGCCACUUAAAAACACACUGAUGUUGGCUAUAACUGUCAAUUUGGAUUGAAAAACAUAUGAACAAAACGGUACAAUUAUAAUAUAAACACGACCCUGUA